UUCAGUUGAAUGUAUUUCUAUUACAUUAGUGUUAUAAAUAAAACAAAAUCAAGUGGCUGUGAACGUCGCUAGUCUGAGUCAGCUGGCGUCUGUUGUUUGCUAACCAACUACGCAGUUUCGCCGAUUGCGCCGAGCUAACUUGUUGUUUCGUUUAUUGUUGUAAAAUGUUUACAAAAUGAAGCGUAUUGCAUCACCUCUUAGUGAAAACACUGUACGGAGAGUGUUAGAAGACGAUAGUAAUGUUGUUAUGUAAAACUUUUUUGUGUAUGUGUUCAAAAGUAUGUGGAGGUUCAAAUACAUACUCAAUUUAGUGAACAAGGAUUUUUUUACUGGCCUUAUAUUUACACCAAACUGAAAAAUUCAUCAUAAAAUUUUAUGUAAGUAAAAGUUUUUCUGGUUUUAUAUUUGUAAUGCACGUUGUAGUAAAUUUAUUUUCCUGUAUUAAUUUAAAGCACAUUGUUUAGAGCAAAACAAAACAAAAAGUAAAAAUUUUCAUAAAUAAAUAACAAAACUGUGACAGUUUUUGCAAACUGCUGAAAAAUUGGCAAUUAUAGCCUGGCUCUUCUUCCACGCGCACUAGAGAGAAUGUCUGGCACUGAAAGGGUUAAAU